ACUAUUUCACCCUUGAUCUUCAGCACACGGAUAUAGCAAUGACAACUACUUCUCCUCACUGUAUCAGCGUCGAUUCAAACGCUACUUUGUCACUCUAAAGAUCACACCAGUCUUCUCCUUCGUACUCAUCGACACAUCCAUCUUUUGCUAGUUGAAACCAGAUGGCUUCAACAAUGCUUUCUGUAGCUUCAGCAUCUCCCUCGGCUUCGCUUUCGAUGCACGAUACUCUCAAGGGGAAGGUUAAGCUUGGAAGUGUCAAUUUGACUCCAGGUUUGAUGAAGACAAAGCAGUCUUUUGGCCGGGUAUCUAUGGCUGUUGCAGUCAAUGUGUCUCGUUUUGAGGGUGUAACAAUGGCUCCCCCUGAUCCUAUUCUUGGAGUGUCUGAGGCCUUUAAGGCAGACACAACUGAUAAAAAACUCAAUCUUGGAGUUGGAGCUUAUCGAACUGAAGAACUACAGCCUUAUGUGCUUGAUGUUGUUAAGAAGGCAGAGAAUCUUAUGCUGGAGAGAGGGGAAAACAAAGAGUAUCUCCCAAUCGAAGGUCUGGCUGCAUUUAAUAAGGUGACUGCAGAGUUAUUAUUUGGAGCAGACAGUGCAGUGCUAAAUGAACAAAGGGUUGCAACGGUACAGGGUCUCUCAGGGACUGGUUCUCUGAGACUAGCCGCAGCUCUUAUAGAACGAUAUUUUCCUGGAGCACAAGUUCUAAUAUCAUCUCCUACUUGGGGUAAUCACAAGAAUAUUUUCAAUGAUGCUAGAGUUCCAUGGUCUGAAUACCGUUACUAUGAUCCAAAAACAGUUGGUUUGGAUUUUGAGGGGAUGGUAGCUGACAUAAAGGCAGCCCCUGAAGGAUCUUUUAUUUUGCUCCAUGGCUGUGCUCACAACCCUACUGGCAUUGAUCCAACCCCCGAACAGUGGGAAAAAAUUGCCGAUGUCAUUCAAGAGAAGAACCACAUUCCUUUUUUCGAUGUUGCGUACCAGGGAUUUGCAAGUGGAAGCCUUGAUGCAGAUGCAUCAUCUGUUAGGUUGUUUGCCGAGCGCGGUAUGGAGCUUCUAGUUGCUCAGUCAUACAGUAAAAAUCUUGGUCUUUAUGCAGAAAGGAUUGGAGCAAUCAAUGUUGUCUGCUCAUCAGCAGAUGCAGCAGCAAGGGUAAAGAGCCAACUGAAAAGGCUUGCUCGACCUAUGUACUCAAAUCCACCUAUUCAUGGAGCUAGGAUUGUUGCGAAUGUCGUUGGUGAUCCAACUCUCUUCAAUGAAUGGAAAGCAGAGAUGGAAAUGAUGGCUGGAAGGAUAAAGAAUGUGAGACAAAAACUUUUUGAUAGUCUCUCUUCAAAAGACAAGAGUGGCAAAGAUUGGUCUUUCAUUCUUAAGCAGAUUGGCAUGUUCUCAUUCACGGGCUUGAAUAAAGCUCAGAGCGAUAACAUGACAAAUAAGUGGCAUGUAUACAUGACCAAGGAUGGAAGGAUAUCGUUGGCUGGAUUGUCCUUGGCCAAAUGUAAAUACCUUGCCGAUGCCAUUAUUGAUUCAUUCCACAAUGUCAAUUAAAAUCGUUGGAUCAUGAGACACUUAUAAGAAGCAAGCCUUUAAAAAUUUUGAGCCAUUAUCUGAGUACUUUCUGGCUCAAACUCAACCAGGUUUUCUGCUUUAUAGUUACGGGCUUUCACCACAAAUUCACAAUGAAACUGAUUUGUGUUUUUACACUUGGACA